AACGAACGCUGGCGGCAGGCCUAACACAUGCAAGUCGAACGCUCCGCAAGGGGAGUGGCGCACGGGUGAGUAACGCGUGGGAAUAUGCCCUUCGGUUCGGAAUAACACAGGGAAACUUGUGCUAAUACCGGAUACGAUCUACGGAUGAAAGAUUCAUCGCCGAAGGAGUAGCCCGCGUAGGAUUAGCUAGUUGGUGAGGUAAUGGCUCACCAAGGCGACGAUCCUUAGCUGGUCUGAGAGGAUGAUCAGCCACACUGGGACUGAGACACGGCCCAGACUCCUACGGGAGGCAGCAGUGGGGAAUAUUGGACAAUGGGCGAAAGCCUGAUCCAGCCAUGCCGCGUGAGUGAUGAAGGCCUUAGGGUUGUAAAGCUCUUUCGCCGGGGAAGAUAAUGACGGUACCUGGAAAAGAAGCCUCGGCUAACUCCGUGCCAGCCGCCGCCGUAACAC
rnacentral:rRNA from 1 species